UCGAACGCUGUGCUAUAUCCGUACCCGAGUGCUUGCACUCAAUUGGAAAGAGGAGUGGCGGACGGGUGAGUAACACGUGGGUAACCUACCCAUCAGAGGGGGAUAACACUUGGAAACAGGUGCUAAUACCGCAUAACAGUUUAUGCCGCAUGGCAUAAGAGUGAAAGGCGCUUUCGGGUGUCGCUGAUGGAUGGACCCGCGGUGCAUUAGCUAGUUGGUGAGGUAACGGCUCACCAAGGCCACGAUGCAUAGCCGACCUGAGAGGGUGAUCGGCCACACUGGGACUGAGACACGGCCCAGACUCCUACGGGAGGCAGCAGUAGGGAAUCUUCGGCAAUGGACGAAAGUCUGACCGAGCAACGCCGCGUGAGUGAAGAAGGUUUUCGGAUCGUAAAACUCUGUUGUUAGAGAAGAACAAGGACGUUAGUAACUGAACGUCCCCUGACGGUAUCUAACCAGAAAGCCACGGCUAACUACGUGCCAGCAGCCGCGGUAAUACGUAGGUGGCAAGCGUUGUCCGGAUUUAUUGGGCGUAAAGCGAGCGCAGGCGGUUUCUUAAGUCUGAUGUGAAAGCCCCCGGCUCAACCGGGGAGGGUCAUUGGAAACUGGGAGACUUGAGUGCAGAAGAGGAGAGUGGAAUUCCAUGUGUAGCGGUGAAAUGCGUAGAUAUAUGGAGGAACACCAGUGGCGAAGGCGGCUCUCUGGUCUGUAACUGACGCUGAGGC
rnacentral:rRNA from 1 species